AAACCCGCCCCCCCCUUAAAUCUAGAUAUACACAUUUUUAUUAUUAUUAUUAUUUUUCCCUCCGAGGCGCGGUGGUGGUUCUGCCCUGGGGGGGCGGGGCACCAUUUUCCCAUCAUUUUCCACAUUAACGCCUCUCCCCCUCUUUUCUCCCGGUUAUUUUCCGGAAUAGAGGACCCCCCCCCAGCUGAAGCUGCCCCCCCCUUUCGGGGGGGGGGGGCCGGGCUGGGGCCGCGAAAGUCCCGGGAAAAUUGGGGGGUGGCGGCCGCUCUCAACAUUUUCUCCGCAAAGCUUUACCGCAAACACCGCUGUCUCUAAAAAUACCCAUUUUUUUAUUAAAAAAAUUACUGGGGGGGGGGGCCGCCAGCAGCCCCUUGCUCAGCACCGCGUUGCCCCCCCCCCCCCCCCCCCCCCCCCGUGCCGGUGCCCCGGGCUCCCGGCAGGUUCCCACGGUGCCGCCCGCCCCCGGGCCGCCCCCCGCCCCGGGGAGGGGGCACCCCCGCCCCCCCUGCGCGCCCGCGUCCUCGCCCUCCACCUCUCCCCUUACGUUCUUUUCCCUUCUUUUUCUUUUUUCUCCCUUUUUCUCCCAUUUUUCCUUUUUUUUUCUUUUUUUCCUUCUUUUUUCCCUUUUUUUUUUUUUCCCCUCCCCCCCCCCCCCCCCCGCGCCCCCGGUCGAAGACGAAAUUGUCUCCGGGCCGGCCCCAGGCGUUGGAGCGGGCCGGAGCUCACAGCCCACCCCCCCACCCCCCCCCCCAAUCCCGGGGAUACAGGCUGGUUUUGGAGCUAUAUUUAAAGCGUGCAGUCAGUGGCUGGAUUUAGAAAACCAGGCAUAAAUCACAUUAAAACACGGACGGCGACGAUCCCAACGCGUCGGCAAAGCUUUGCCCUGAUUUCAUUGCCCCCCCUCCCAAUCUUAAAAGCAGAACCGAGACCGACAGCGGGGUCCCGUCCCCCCCAAAUAAAACCAGAGGUGGGUAUUUGAAGGCAAGGGGGUCCCUGCUGGGAUUUAUUCCGAUGAAUCCUGGGGGACUUAUUCAUCGACGGGGGGGGUUGGUUAAUUCAAAAGCCCGGGGUCCCCGUCCCCCCCCCAGCCCCCUUGCCUGCAAAGAAAGAGCUGCUGUCCAUGGGGAGGGGGCUGCGGGUUGGGGGGUGCCCAUGAGGAGAUCCCCGGGGAAACAGCUUGGGAACCCAGCAAAGAAUUCCUGAUUAAUGACCAGAACAGCUCAGGAUUUCGUUUUUCUCCAUAAAUCCUGGCUGAUUAUAAACCCUGCGCUCAGCCUGGCUGUGGGCUUUGCAUGGGACAGGGGGGGUACCCGAGAAAUCCACCCCCCCCCCCGUCCCCCCCAGGGGCCGUACCCAAUGCCCAGCCGCAGCUGAAGGCUGCAGCAUCCUUGUACCGUCCCAGCCCCGCUGACCCACCACCCCGCCGGCGUGGGAGAAGGACCUGGGGGGGGACACACACAGGGAUACGGGUGGUGCCCCCCCCCGCCACCCCAUUCACAGCAGUUCUGACCCCGCAGCUCCAGGGUUUGGAAAGCCAAACGUCUCCCAAACCGCAGUCUGGUUUUCAAGUCCAAAUAAAGCCUGCUGGGUUUUUUUCCCUGCCCGGCACAGGACGGCGGGUGCGUAUGCACAAAUCCUCCCUGCUUUCCCGCUCUGCCACCUGUGCGCUCGCUUGUCCCCCGCCCCAAACCCCAAACUGGGACCCCCCCAUGUCAGGAUCUGCCCCGUGCUGGGAGUCCCGUGCUUCUCACACCCUCCACGAAGCCCCUAGUACUGGGCUUUUGUCACAGCUAGACUGGAUCUUUGAUAGAUCGGGGUGGUUUAUUUUCUUUUUUUUUUUUUUUCCCUUUUACCCAAUAAUAAGCUUUUUUCAUCCAAGAUCAGGAAAAAAUAGGCAGGGAGGAGGGCUGACAUGCACAACCCAUAGAGAGCUUUGAGAGGAGCACGAAUCCCAAAGCUGUAAUUACUGCCUGCGUUUUUCGGCUACGGACCGGCUGCUAAAUUGGUUGUAAGGCGCGGAAACGGCAGUUACACCUUUCAGCGGAAAAAAUGUGGUUUAGCAGAGAAACGUGCAUGGGAAACCUCCCCAAAUCUGCAAUCCCUAUAUAACACCCCAGUAUUACCGAUUCUGCAUUUGUGAGUUUAAAACAAUCCGACGCCCAGGUGAACAGGAAUACUGAGCUCCGAAUGACAAGAUCUUCUACAUCAACAGAGUGAAAUAGGGAUUUUUCCCUUGAUCUGUCAGUUAAAUCAAAAAUACCCUCCUGGAUGCAGGACAUGAGCGAGCGAGAGGCAGUAGCAUGUGCUAUUUUGAGGUUUGAUAUAAAAUAGAUACCCUUGGCUUCAGCAUUUCUCCGUAGCCCGGCCCACAGGAGCUGCAGGUACUUUCGUAUGCAUACAAAACAUUUUAAAAUGGAAAAUAUUCACAGCUGCUCUUGCCGUUUUGACAGGGGGAAAGGAAUCGCGGGGCAUGUUAAGGAGAUAUUAAAAGCUGUGGUUUGAAGCUCCUAAAGCAUUUACUCAGCGGGAGAUCCAGAGAAAGAAGUUUAGAAGUUAACUGCAUACUUGUGUGCCUUUGCUCUGUCCUUCUUAAAAUUCACCUCUCCUAUCUGCUUCUAAUUUAAACAAGCAGAGCCCUCCAGGAACUGGAAAAUCCAGAUUUGCAGCAUCUCCCAGGGAAAGACGUUUUCUUACGUGCCCCCCCAGCACGAGGGUCCUGCUGAAGGUUAAACUCGCAAGUGCCUCUGCUUUUGCACCAAGUUAAUCUCCCCCCCAAAAAUAAAAGACCAGGGAAAUGCCGGUGAAAACUGCCUCGACGUUGCCGGCUGGGCCCUGGCUUGGUCCUGUCCCUCUUCAGAGCCAGGCAGGGAUUUCACCACCGCUGCCGGCAUUAAAUGCUCGUCCCCGCUCCGUGCCCUGGCCUGCUUCGGCUUCCCUGCCUGAAAACAAGGUAAACCCAUCCACCUCCCCGGGGUACGUUAUAGUGGCUUAAAAUUAACACUCACAAAUGUAUUUUCAAAUCCCUUCAUGAAAGGCACCAGAAGCUCUAGGUAUUAUUAGAAUAGAUCUUUCGCCUUUUAACAGCUGUUAAUUGCCAUUAAAACCAAACAUCCACAGCUUUAUUGGAACAGCAUCUGAAUUUCCAUGUCGCACGCCGCGCGUUGCAGAGCCUGCGUGUGUGCUUGGUCUUGCUUUCUUGCACGUGCCAGCCUGCCACGACGAGGUGCGAUCGCUAAAUCCUACCUCGGUGGUAGUUAUCUUGCAUACUGGGACCCGUUUUUGGGUCCCCUGCUGCCAGGCUUUUUCCUUCGCCCUCCCCACCAUGCUGCAAGUCGUUGCACCAGACGUGCCGUCAUUGCAAGAAGCUCACCCCCCCCCCCCCAACUUGCUAGCAGAAAAAAAGACGGGAUGCAAAACCUGUUCCCAAAAAUACCCUGAAGAAGCAAGCAGGAACCUGCCCGCGAGGAAAUGGGUCCCUAAGGCUGAAUCCAGCCUGCAGCUGCCAGCAAAAGCACGUGCUGGGUGUCACAGGGAUGGGAAUAGCCCGCUGUGACGAACGUGGAGUAAAUCAAAGUCAUUAACAGGCAGGGCUGGGGGGGAAGGCUGCCAGUCCUGCCCUCCCUGCAGCCACCGUGCCGGAGGCUCCUUUCCCCGCUCCCUUUGGGGUCCAUCAAGCCGGCCCCGUCCGCAGCAUCCCUCCAUCACCUCGUGGCCUGGGAUCUGCCACCACCACACGGAGAAACCGAGCGCCGGGCAGGGAAGAAACCCUUGGGAAAACCGUGCAGCAGUUUUCCCCGUGUCCACGAAGGCGCUGGCUCCUCGCAUCCCUCGUGGGUAUUUUAUACAUCCAUCCAACGAUCGCACCCGCCUGGCAGUCCCCUGCCACAGCCUACACCGGGUACCAAACUGCUGAUGCUAAACACGUGAGAUGGAUUCAGCAGGGCAAGAGGGGAAGAAAUACCUGUGGUUCCAAGCCCUUGAGCAUCUUAUUAGACCCCAGUGUUUCCUCUCACCCCGAACACCAACCCAAGGAGGGGGGUGUCCAUGGCUGGCUCCCGGGGCUAUCCCCUCGCUUUUCCCAUCACCCCAGUCCUCUGCACGGCCCCAAGUGAAGCCAAGGGGGAAGGAGCGGUUGGACGAGACGAGCCCUUUCUGCUCCACAAAGCUCGUCAGCCGGCAGCACUGGGCUUAUAAUUACUAUUUCCUUAAAGACGAGCCGAGCAGCUAUAGACAAAAAAAGUCCCCUCUUGUCGGAGCUGGAAUUUGAUGUCCUAACGACUGUUUUUGUACCGUGCCUGUUAGAGGAAAGAGCUCGGCAGGAGGGGGAAAGAGAGAUUUAAUUAUAGAGCUGCAUUGUGAUUUUGCACACAUAGCUGGCUGUUGUAAUCAGGUUACAAGUGUAUCUGAUUUUCUUCCCUCCCCUCCCUCUUCCUCCUCUUUCUCUUUCUUUUCUUUUUUUUUUUUUUUUCCUCCCCCUUUUUCCUUUCGGUGGUCCAAAUUAGUUGCUUAUGUUUGGGUGUUGCAGAGACGAGCUGUUAUUUGGCUUCGCUGAAGAUCUUGAUCAAGGGAACAGUGUUUCCAAAGAGGCUCAGCAGCUCUUUGCCAGAGAAAAACGACGGUUCCCAGCUCCGGCAGAAACCCGCCGGGCUGUGCCGGGCACUCGCAUCCCACCAUCCCAGGGUUCCCCUCCCACUGCCACAAUAAGGGGGGACACACAUAUACAUCUGUCGUCCACCCCCCCCAUGCUCCCAUCAAAUUCCUGCACAUCCAGGAUUCCCUCAAUAAAUAAGAGGCUUCUGAAGAAGAGGAGGACCCCUAUUUACCUCCAUUGGGGUAGGAGGAGGAAAGAGAGGAGAAAAGAGCGUUUUUAAAAGCAACUUUAUAUUUUUCUAUCCAAGGCAAGUGAUGCCGCACUUGGAUUGGGGACUGUUGUUGGGUUCAUUUAGGAAUCCAUUGUUGUCCAUGUGAAUUCUUUUUUACAUUUCAAAUAACAGGAUUAUUUCCCCAGGGGGUAAUAUCCUGUAAUUUGAACACAAUAAUGGGAAUAAAUUACUUACUUAGAAC